UACGUAGGGCGCAAGCGUUGUCCGGAAUCAUUGGGCGUAAAGAGCGUGUAGGCGGCCACUUAAGUCCUGCGUGAAAUCUUGCGGCUCAACCGCAAGCGGUCGUGGGAAACUGGGUGGCUAGAGUGCGGGAGAGGAGAGUGGAAUUCCUGGUGUAGCGGUGGAAUGCGCAGAUAUCAGGAAGAACACCCGUGGCGAAGGCGGCUCUCUGGAACGCAACUGACGCUGAGACGCGAAAGCGUGGGGAGCAAACAGG
rnacentral:rRNA from 1 species